AAAUAGCAACGAAGGCCUCAGAGGUGGAAGUGCAGCCUUGAGAAACUUCAGCCAGCUCGGGACAGCUCUGCCAGCAUGGCUGAUUGUACCCCUCAGGCUGUAGAGUAAUGACAUCCCUCCCACGACGGGAACACUGACGCUCAGAGAUGUGAAAUAACUUGCCUGAGGACGCACAACCAGAAAACAGAGGAACCAGGAUUUAUACCCCGUGUGGCCAGCUCCGAAACCUAGACUAUGGCAGCCGCGACUGGAGUUCUCAAGUGAAAAUCAACAUGAUGAGGUAAAGAUCAACUGAGAAAGAAGACAAGAGAAUGAUCAAGUAGGCAGACUGACUCACUCUGGAGCCCUGGACCACCAAAGAUGACCCCGCACCCACUCCAUAGGGGAGACCUGCCCCCUUGUCAUCUUUAGAGGCAGAUUCCAUCCCAAGGGAGGAAUGAGGGGAAGAAGAUAGGCCAUGCAGGCCCCUUUUUCUCUCCCAUUUAGGUAAUUCACACCACCUUUCCAGGGGAGGACCGAAGGUGGGAUAGAGGCCAAUCAUAUUUGGGGAAAACCCCGAGUCUUGGAAACAAAAAGUACGCAAGAACCAUUCUCAGCAUUUGCUGCCUAACAAACGCUAUAUGCAAAAUGGAUUGCAUUCGUAAUUCCCCCACAAGAAUUUGGAGGGUACAUC